GGGGAUGUAAGGCUUCGACAAAAGUUCUUUUCAAAAAAUAGCAGGUUGAGCUGAUUAUCUCAUUAAACUAAUUAAAAACAUAUAACUGCCAACAAAAACUUGGCUCCCGCUUUCGCUUUUGCUUAAGCGGCAUCGGCGGCUGAUGUCUAAUAAGUCAUCACCGGUGUUAUAAAUUAGACUCGCCGAGCACAUAAGCUCUUUUAUAUACUCGGUUAAAUCAAUAAGAGCAAAAAUCGUCCCGCUUAGCGGGAAUAAACCUGUAGAGGUUUUUUGAAAAAUAUUUUGGACGGGGUUUCAAUGCCCCCAUCUCCACCA
rfam:Candidatus Wolfebacteria bacterium CG1_02_39_135 cg1_0.2_scaffold_3639_c, whole genome shotgun sequence.